rnacentral:rRNA from 1 species
UACGAAGGGUGCAAGCGUUAAUCGGAAUUACUGGGCGUAAAGCGUGCGCAGGCGGUAAUGUAAGACAGAUGUGAAAUCCCCGGGCUCAACCUGGGAACUGCAUUUGUGACUGCAAGGCUAGAAUCUGGCAGAGGGGGGUAGAAUUCCACGUGUAGCAGUGAAAUGCGUAGAUAUGUGGAGGAAUACCGAUGGCGAAAGGCAGCCCCCUGGGCUAAGAUUGACGCUCAUGCACGGAAAGCG